GAUGAACGCUGGCGGCGUGCCUAAUACAUGCAAGUCGAGCGAACAGACGAGGAGCUUGCUCCUCUGACGUUAGCGGCGGACGGGUGAGUAACACGUGGAUAACCUACCUAUAAGACUGGGAUAACUUCGGGAAACCGGAGCUAAUACCGGAUAAUAUAUUGAACCGCAUGGUUCAAUAGUGAAAGACGGUUUUGCUGUCACUUAUAGAUGGAUCCGCGCCGCAUUAGCUAGUUGGUAAGGUAACGGCUUACCAAGGCGACGAUGCGUAGCCGACCUGAGAGGGUGAUCGGCCACACUGGAACUGAGACACGGUCCAGACUCCUACGGGAGGCAGCAGUAGGGAAUCUUCGGCAAUGGGCGAAAGCCUGACGGAGCAACGCCGCGUGAGUGAAGAAGGUCUUCGGAUCGUAAAACUCUGUUAUUGGGGAAGAAAAAAUGUGUAAGUAACUAUGCACGUCUUGACGGUACCUAAUGAGAAAGCCCCGGCUAACUACGUG
rnacentral:rRNA from 1 species